CAUGCAAAGUCGACGAGACCUUCGGGUCUAGUGGCGCACGGGUGCGUAACGCGUAGGCAAUCUACCCGAUACAGGGGAAUAACACGGGGAAACUCGUGCUAAUACCGCGUAAUAAAUGAGAAGGCAUCUUCUUAUUUUAAAAGCUUCGGCGGUAUCGGAAGAGCCUGCGUCCUAUUAGCUAGUUGGUAAGGUAACAGCUUACCAAGGCGACGAUAGGUAGGGGAACUGAGAGGUUGAUCCCCCACACUGGUACUGAGAUACGGACCAGACUCCUACGGGAGGCAGCAGUGAGGAAUAUUGGUCAAUGGACGGAAGUCUGAACCAGCCAUGUCGCGUGUCGGAAGACGGCCCUCUGGGUUGUAAACGGCUUUUCUUUGGGAAGAACACGCUCUUGCGAGAGCAACUGACGGUACCAAAGGAAUAAGCACCGGCUAACUACGUGCCAGCAGCCGCGGUAAUACGUAGGGUGCAAGCGUUGUCCGGAUUUAUUGGGUUUAAAGGGUGCGUAGGCGGCUAUUUAAGUCGUGGGUGAAAGUCCGUCGCUUAACGACGGAAUUGCCUGCGAUACUGGAUAGCUUGAGUAUCGUUAAGGUUGGCGGAAUGGGAGGUGUAGCGGUGAAAUGCAUAGAUACCUUCCAGAACACCGAUUGCGUAGGCAGCUGACUAGGCGAUAACUGACGCUGAGGCACGAAAGCGUGGGGAGCGAACAGGAUUAGAUACCCUGGUAGUCCACGCCGUAAACGAUGAUGA
rnacentral:rRNA from 1 species